rnacentral:rRNA from 1 species
CAGCCGCCGCGGUAAUACGAAGGGGGCUAGCGUUGCUCGGAAUGACUGGGCAUAAAGGGCGCGUAGGCGGCCAUUCAAGUUAGAUGUGAAAGCCCUGGGCUCAACCUAGGAAUUGCAUUUGAUACUGUUUGGCUUGAGUUCGGGAGAGGUGAGUGGAAUUCCCAGUGUAGAGGUGAAAUUCGUAGAUAUUGGGAAGAACACCAGUGGCGAAGGCGGCUCACUGGACCGACACUGACGCUGAGGCGCGAAAGCGUGGGGAGCAAACAGGAUUAGAGACCCCGGUAGUCCCUGUCUCUUAUAA